CCUCGCGGACAGCGCGGCUGUGCGGGCGGAGAGCUGUCGGGUGCUUAAUGGUGAAGAUUUGCAGACUGAAAUCUCAAAAUCAUGUGCAGAUCGUGAUUAAGGUAACCAACAUUUGAAGAACCAAAGAUGGAGAAUAACUUGGCCAAAAUCCUGCACACUCUCCUCACAGCAUUGUCUGUCUCUCUGCACCAAAUGGACUGUGAAUGGCUCAAGACAGCAGCUCACUACCAUCUUCUCAAGGGUAACUAGAGAUGGGGAAUAAAUGCUGGCUGAGCCAGGAAUGCCCAUAUCCUGGAAAUGGUUUCUGUCUCUAGUUGCUGAAACCCAGUUGAUGUUACUGCAGGAUGAUGAGGGAUGCUGAGUGUAUCCUCCAGGAGGCAGCACCAUCACAUUACCCCUGCCUACACCCACACAGUAACACCGCAACGUCACUGGAACAAAAGGCAGUGAAACCAAAGGAGGACUUGGAUAUAGUUUUUCAAGUUAAAGUCAUAAAAGGGGAUUGGAACCCAGCAGGAACAGGAGACUGAGCUGGAUGGUCAGCUGUUUCCCAUUGAAUGGUGGAGCAGGAUUGAAAGGCCUCCUGCUGCUAUCUCUCAGGAUGCCCCACAACAGGAAGUGCUCUGACACUCAAUGCCCGUAAGUCAUGGUCAUUUUCCUAAAAUCACUCACGUCUGGCAAUAUCAUUGAAGAUAUUUUAUACAGUAACCUUUCGGUCUGAAUUGCCAGUUCCAGUCCAUGAAGCAGCCAGUUACAUGCCAGUGAAUUGAAUUCUAACAGCAGCAUUGCCCUGGCAGGAGAGAUUGAGGAGCUUGAAGCUGUCUUCUCUGGAGUAUCUAAACAUGAAACACUUCAAAUGAACAAAAAUCUUCAAGAGCUCGAGAGGAUAGAUACAGGAAGGAUGUGCUAGGCUGGUGUGCCUGGAAUAAAA